rnacentral:misc_RNA from 1 species
CCAAACUUGGUCAUUUAGAGGAAGUAAAAGUCGUAACAAGGUCUCCGUAGGUGAACCUGCGGAGGGAUCAUUAAUGAAGAUUGAUUAGACUUGGAACACCUAAUCAAAUCUCUCAAAACCAAUGUUUUAAAUUAUUACUUGUCUUUACCUAAGUGGUUAUCUAAAUGAACUUUCCUGACCACAUAACCUCUCACUGGUGUAACCUCGUAACUGAUGGUUCAAGAGUGAUUUGAUGGUUUGAUAACAUGGAAUUUUUAUGAAGAGCUACCUUAGAACUAUACCUUAUCUCGUUAUUGAAUUAUUGUCUGAGUUGUGGUCUUAAUUAUAAAACUUUCAACAACGGAUCUCUUGGCUCUGGCAUCGAUGAAGAACGCAGC